rnacentral:rRNA from 1 species
UCUACGGGAGGCAGCAGUAGGGAAUCUUCGGCAAUGGGCGAAAGCCUGACCGAGCAACGCCGCGUGAAUGAUGAAGGCCUUCGGGUUGUAAAAUUCUGUUAUAAGGGAAGAACGACUUUAGUAGGAAAUGGCUAAAGUGUGACGGUACCUUAUGAGAAAGCCACGGCUAACUACGUGCCAGCAGCCGCGGUAAUA